rnacentral:rRNA from 1 species
CUCUGUGACUCCUACGGGAGGCAGCAGUGGGGAAUAUUGCACAAUGGGCGCAAGCCUGAUGCAGCAACGCCGUGUGAGUGAAGAAGGUUUCGGAUCGUAAAACUCUGUCCUAAGGGAAGAAACAAAUGACGGUACCUUAGGAGGAAGCCCCGGCUAACUACGUGCCAGCAGCCGCGGUAAUACGUAGGGGGCAAGCGUUAUCCGGAAUCACUGGGCGUAAAGGGUGCGUAGGCGGCUUAGCAAGCCAGGGGUGAAAGGCAUUGGCUCAACCAAUGUAAGCCUUUGGAACUGUUAGGCUUGAGUGCAGGAGAGGUAAGUGGAAUUCCUAGUGUAGAGGUGAAAUUCGUAGAUAUUAGGAGGAACACCAGUGGCGAAGGCGACUUACUGGACUGUAACUGACGCUGAUGCACGAAAGCGUGGGUAGCGAACAGGAUUAGAUACCCUGGUAG